GAACCCGAUUCAAGCCAAGUCGGGAUUAGUUGACAUCAAUGACCAAGAUUGGAGCUAGCCGAGCUCAAGUUAAAUCCAAGAUGAAGGGAGUUAAGGUCGGGUUGGAGAUUUCAACUUGGUUUGAUCCAAAGUCAAAUCGUACCAUGACUCAUCUAAGAUUGGAUUUGUGAACAUGUGUGAACGAUUUCAACAACAUUUGUAGCCAAUUCGACUCUUG